rnacentral:tRNA from 1 species
GGAGAGGUGCAGGAGUGGUUGAACUGGCACGCCUGGAAAGUGUGUGUACGUGCAAGCGUACCGUGGGUUCGAAUCCCACUCUCUCCGCAA